rnacentral:lncRNA from 1 species
UAUUAAACAAUACAACACACACAUAUUACCAACAUAUAUAUAUAUAUCUAUUAAUUUUCAAAAAGUUUUAUAAACUUGUAUUUGUAAUAAAUUUAUUUAUUUAUUUAUUAAGUAUAUUCAUUUUAUCAAGUCAUAGUGACAAGACUUCUUCUCUACAGCAUUUAGCUUUUUUCAAAAAUACAGCCAGAUUUUUCAAAGUAAUUAAAUUUUCUGUUCUAAAAAGACUAGUUAAAGUGUCUCUGUUACAAUUACUUUGACACCAUAAUGGUAAAAAAUUUCUCCUUAUGUCAGCCAAAAUUGGACAAACAAGUACAAAAUGGAAUUCAUCUUCUAUUUCAUUUGUAUUACAAAUUUUACA